rnacentral:rRNA from 1 species
CAGCAGCCGCGGGAAUACAGAGGGUGCGAGCGUUAAUCGGAUUUACUGGGCGUAAAGCGUGCGUAGGCGGCUUCUUAAGUCGGAUGUGAAAUCCCUGAGCUUAACUUAGGAAUUGCAUUCGAUACUGGGAAGCUAGAGUAUGGUAGAGGAUGGUAGAAUUCCAGGUGUAGCGGUGAAAUGCGUAGAGAUCUGGAGGAAUACCGAUGGCGAAGGCAGCCAUCUGGCCUAAUACUGACGCUGAGGUACGAAAGCAUGGGGAGCAAACAGGAUUAGAUACCCCGGUAGUCCCUGUCUCUUAUAC